rnacentral:rRNA from 1 species
AUUGAACGCUGGCGGCAGGCCUAACACAUGCAAGUCGAGCGGAUGAAGGGAGCUUGCUCCUGGAUUCAGCAGCGGACGGGUGAGUAAUGCCUAGGAAUCUGCCUGGUAGUGGGGGAUAACGUCCGGAAACGGGCGCUAAUACCGCAUACGUCCUGAGGGAGAAAGUGGGGGAUCUUCGGACCUCACGCUAUCAGAUGAGCCUAGGUCGGAUUAGCUAGUUGGUGGGGUAAAGGCCUACCAAGGCGACGAUCCGUAACUGGUCUGAGAGGAUGAUCAGUCACACUGGAACUGAGACACGGUCCAGACUCCUACGGGAGGCAGCAGUGGGGAAUAUUGGACAAUGGCGAAAGCCUGAUCCAGCCAUGCCGCGUGUGUGAAGAAGGUCUUCGGAUUGUAAAGCACUUUAAGUUGGGAGGAAGGGCAGUAAGUUAAUACCUUGCUGUUUUGACGUUACCAACAGAAUAAGCACCGGCUAACUUCGUGCCAGCAGCCGCGGUAAUACGAAGGGUGCAAGCGUUAAUCGGAAUUACUGGGCGUAAAGCGCGCGUAGGUGGUUCAGCAAGUUGGAUGUGAAAUCCCCGGGCUCAACCUGGGAACUGCAUCCAAAACUACUGAGCUAGAGUACGGUAGAGGGUGGUGGAAUUUCCUGUGUAGCGGUGAAAUGCGUAGAUAUAGGAAGGAACACCAGUGGCGAAGGCGACCACCUGGACUGAUACUGACACUGAGGUGCGAAAGCGUGGGGAGCAAACAGGAUUAGAUACCCUGGUAGUCCACGCCGUAAACGAUGUCGACUAGCCGUUGGGAUCCUUGAGAUCUUAGUGGCGCAGCUAACGCGAUAAGUCGACCGCCUGGGGAGUACGGCCGCAAGGUUA